rnacentral:rRNA from 1 species
CAGGGAAUCUUGCGCAAUGGGCGAAAGCCUGACGCAGCGACGCCGCGUGGGGGAAGAAGGCUUUCGGGUUGUAAACCCCUUUUCUGGGGGAAGAGAAAGGACGGUACCCCAGGAAUAAGUCUCGGCUAACUACGUGCCAGCAGCCGCGGUAAUACGUAGGAGGCGAGCGUUGUCCGGAUUUACUGGGCGUAAAGGGCGUGUAGGCGGAGGGGGAAGUCCUCUGUGAAAUCUCCCGGCUCAACCGGGAGGGGUCAGUGGAUACUCCUCCUCUUGAGGACAGCAGGGGAGGGUGGAAUUCCCGGUGUAGUGGUGAAAUGCGUAGAUAUCGGGAGGAACACCAGUGGCGAAGGCGGCCCUCUGGGCUGCUCCUGACGCUGAGGCGCGAAAGCGUGGGUAGCAAACCGG